GGUAAAAUGGCCAAGUAGAUAUUAGACUGUAAAUCUAAUCACAGAGGUUUAGCCCUCUUUUUACCA
rfam:Cavia porcellus supercont2_86 genomic scaffold, whole genome shotgun sequence.